GAUGAACGCUGGCGGCGUGCCUAAUACAUGCAAGUCGAGCGAACAGACGAGGAGCUUGCUCCUCUGACGUUAGCGGCGGACGGGUGAGUAACACGUGGAUAACCUACCUAUAAGACUGGGAUAACUUCGGGAAACCGGAGCUAAUACCGGAUAAUAUAUUGAACCGCAUGGUUCAAUAGUGAAAGACGGUUUUGCUGUCACUUAUAGAUGGAUCCGCGCCGCAUUAGCUAGUUGGUAAGGUAACGGCUUACCAAGGCGACGAUGCGUAGCCGACCUGGGAGGGUGAUCGGCCACACUGGAAAUGAGACACGGUCCAGACUCCUACGGGAGGCAGCAGUAGGGAAUCUUCCGCAAUGGGCGAAAGCCUGACGGAGCAACGCCGCGUGAGUGAUGAAGGUCUUCGGAUCGUAAAACUCUGUUAUUAGGGAAGAACAAAUGUGUAAGUAACUAUGCACGUCUUGACGGUACCUAAUCAGAAAGCCACGGCUAACUACGUG
rnacentral:rRNA from 1 species